rnacentral:tRNA from 1 species
UCCCUGAUGGUUCAGACUUUAAAGCGUCUGCCUAUAAUGCGGGAGACCCAGGUUCAAUCCCUGGGUCGGGGAG